GUGAGUGCUAUGCUGAAGCCUGAUCAAUAGUUUGCGAAUAGUUUAUGCUUUUAUUGUUAAUUCAUUAUGGUGUGCUGUAUCCUUAUGGGGGCUUUAACAAAUGAAUAAGGGGUCAUUCUUUUUGUGAGAUAAACUAACAAGAAAAAGAUAGGUUUUCGGCCCUUAUACUUGUGUCAGACUAAUUAUGGGUAAUGCUUAGUUGAGUUGAGUUGUAUUGAACAAUAAACAGGCUUAGUUGAGUUGAGUUGUAUAUGAAUCUUAAUUUCCUUUAGCUUUUACAUUAUCUAUUCUUCUUUUGUGGCCAUGUGUUUUACUUUUUACCUUUCCCAUUUGAAGAUUACUGUCAGGUGUCAGAUCCUAAUCAGUCACAUAUAUACAUGAGGGGUUUAAUACUAGAGAAAGAAGAUCAAUGCAUGGAAAGGCUUGUCUGAUCGAGUGAUCAAUAUUGACAAUCCUUCAAUGCUUUGUUGAUAAAGUGAUAUUAGCUGGAAGAGUUACCAUAUUCUAAUUCUGCUCCAUGAUGCAAAUGGAUUUUUUUUUCCUUACUAUUUUUUAAUAAGUUCUAUGUUUUUGGUCCUUGUUAUGAAUAAUACUGUCAUUACUACUUAAAGGUUUGUGUUCGUGAACAACUUUGCAGAUAAUUUAAUUGAAGACCUUCCU
rnacentral:misc_RNA from 1 species